rnacentral:misc_RNA from 1 species
GAUGAAGAACGUAGCGAAAUACGAUAAUUAAUGUGAAUUGCAGAAUUCCGUGAAUCAUCGAGUCUUUGAACGCACAUUGCGCCUCAUGGCAUUCCGUGAGGCAUGCCCAUCUCAGCGUUAGAAAAUAUUCUCAAAUUUUAGUUUUGUGCUAAAAUUUGGAUCAUGUCAAAGAAGCUAUUACUAUUAUUGUGAUCGCUCUUUGGAAAUUGAUAGGUCUUUGAGUUGCUACUCAUAGAACGUGAUGAAUCUUUCUUCGUUCUAUUGUAAUUCACUCUGGUAGUCCUAAAACUGGUAUGCCUGUGGCAUAUCUUGUAAUUUGACCUGAGAUUGGGUAGGGAUACCCGCUGAACUUAAGCAUAUCAAUAAGCGGAGGA